rnacentral:rRNA from 1 species
UACGGAGGAUCCGAGCGUUAUCCGGAUUUAUUGGGUUUAAAGGGUGCGUAGGUGGUUUGAUAAGUCAGCGGUGAAAGUUUGCAGCUUAACUGUAAAAAUGCCGUUGAAACUGUCGGACUUGAGUGUAAAUGAGGUAGGCGGAAUGCGUGGUGUAGCGGUGAAAUGCAUAGAUAUCACGCAGAACUCCGAUUGCGAAGGCAGCUUACUAAGCUACAACUGACACUGAAGCACGAAAGCGUGAGGAUCAAACAGG